GACGAACGCUGGCGGCGUGCUUAACACAUGCGAGUCGAACGGAAAGGCCCUGCUUUUGUGGGGUGCUCGAGUGGCGAACGGGUGAGUAACACGUGAGUAACCUGCCCUUGACUUUGGGAUAACUUCAGGAAACUGGGGCUAAUACCGGAUAGGAGCUCCUGCUGCAUGGUGGGAGUUGGAAAGUUUCGGCGGUUGGGGAUGGACUCGCGGCUUAUCAGCUUGUUGGUGGGGUAGUGGCUUACCAAGGCUUUGACGGGUAGCCGGCCUGAGAGGGUGACCGGCCACAUUGGGACUGAGAUACGGCCCAGACUCCUACGGGAGGCAGCAGUGGGGAAUAUUGCACAAUGGGCGGAAGCCUGAUGCAGCAACGCCGCGUGCGGGAUGACGGCCUUCGGGUUGUAAACCGCUUUCGCCUGUGACGAAGCGUGAGUGACGGUAAUGGGUAAAGAAGCACCGGCUAACUACGUG
rnacentral:rRNA from 1 species